UAUUAGAAUAACAAGAUCUUAGUCAAGAAAAUUGCAAGAAGUCAAUAGAAAAAUUGAGAUCUCUACUGCUUCUAAAAGCUGAGAACAUUCUGAGGGUUAUUUGUGUGGCAAGUCAAGAGCUCACUUUCAUAGAUCUCUCCCUCACAUCUGCACUAAUGUGCCAUGUGACUGACAGGGUCUUGGUGCUCCAGCCGGGUGUCAGGCCUGUGUCUCUGAGGUGGAAGGCCAAGUUCAGGACAUUGGUCCACCAGAGACCUCCUGGAUCCACGUAAUAUCAAAUGGCCAAAGCUCUCCCAGAGAUCUCCAUCUCAAUGCUAAGACCAAGCUGCACUCAACGACAGCAAGCUACAGUGCUGGACACCCUAUGCCAAACAACUAGCAAGACAGGAACACAACCCCAUCCAUUAGCACAGAGGCUGCCUAAAAUCAUAAUAAGGCCACAGACACCCCAAAACACACCACCAGACAUAGACCUGCCCACCAGAAAGACAAGAUCCAGCCUCAUCCACCAGAACACAGGCACUAGUCCCCUCCACCAGGAAGCCUACACAACCCACUGAACCAACCUUAGCCACUGGGGAUAGAAACCAAAAACAACGGGAACUACGAACCUGCAGCCUGCGAAAAGGAGACACCAAACACAGUAAGUUAAGCAAAAUGAGAAGACAGAAAAUCACACAGCAGAUGAAGGAGCAAGGUAAAAACUCACCAGACCUGACAAAUGAAGAGAAAAUAGGCAGUCUACCUGAAAAAGAAUUCAGAAUAAUGAUAGUAAACAUGAUCCAAAAUAUUGGAAAUAGAAUAGAGAAAAUACAAGAAACAUUUAACAAGGACCUAGAAGAACUAAAGAGCAAACAAACAGUGAUAAACAACACAAUAAAUGAAAUUAAAAAUUCUCUAGAAGGGAUCAAUAGCAGAAUAACUGAGGCAGAAGAACGGAUAAGUGACCUGGAAGAUAAAAUAGUAGAAAUAACUACUGCAGAGCAGAAUAAAGAAAAAAAGAAUGAAAAGAACUGAGGACAGUCUCAGAGACCUCUGGGACAACAUUAAACGCACCAACAUUUGAAUUAUAGGGAUCCCAGAAGAAGAAGAGAAAAAGAAACGGACUGAGAAAAUAUUUGAAGAGAUUAUAGUUGAAAACUUCCCUAGUAUGGGAAAGGAAAUAGUCAAUAAAGUCCAGGAAGCGCAGAGAAUCUCAUACAGCAAAAAUCCAAGGAGAAGCACGCCAAGGCACAUAUUAAUCAAACUAUCAAAAAUUAAAUACUAAGAAAAAAUAUUAAAAGCAGCAAGGGAAAAGCAACAAACAACAUACAAGGGAAUCCCCAUAAGGUUAACAGCUGAUCUUUCAGCAGAAACUCUGCAAGCCAGAAGGGAAUGGCAGGACAUAUUUAAAGGGAUGAAAGUAGAAAACUACAACCAAGAUUACUCUACCCAGCAAGGAUCUCAUUCAGAUUUGACGGAGAAAUUAAAACUUUUAAAGACAAGCAAAAGCUAAGAGAAUUCAGCACCACCAAACCAGCUUUACAACAAAUGUCAAAGGAACUUCUCUAGGCAAGAAACACAAGAGAAGAAAAAGACCUACGAUAACAAACCCAAAACAAUUAAGAAAAUGGUAAUAAGAACACACAUAUCAAUAACUACCUUAAAUGUAAAUGGAUUAAAUGCUCCAACCAAAAGACACAGACUGGCUGAAUGGAUACAAAAACAAGACCCGUAUAUAUGCCAUCUACAAGAGACCCACUUCAGACCUCGGGAUACAUACAGACUGAAAGUGAGGGGAUGCAAAAAGAUAUUCCAUGCAAAUGGAAAUCAAAAGAAAGCUGCAGUAGCAAUUCUCAUAUCAGACAAAACAGACUUUAAAAUAAAGACUAUUAGAAGAGACAAAGAAGGACACUACAUAAUGAUCAAGGGAUCGAUCCAAGAAGAAGAUAUAACAACGUAAAUAUUUAUGCACCCAACAUAGGAGCACCUCAAUACAUAAGGCAAAUGCUAACAGCCAUAGAAGGGGAAAUCAACAGUAACACAAUCAUAGUAGGGGACUUUAACACCCCACUUUCACCAAUGGACAGAUCAUCCAAAAUGAAAAUAAAUAAGGAAACACAAGCUUUAAAUGAUACAUUAAACAAGACAGACUUAUUUGAUGUGUAUAGGACAUUCCAUCCAAAAACAAGAGAAUACACUUUCUUCUCAAGUGCUCAUGGAACAUUCUCAAGGAUAGACCAUAUCCUGGGUCACAAAUCAAGCCUUGGUAAAUUUCAGAAAACUACAAUAGUAUCAAUUAUCUUUUCUGACCACAAUGCUAUGAGAUUAAAUAUCAAUUACAGGAAAAUAUCUUUAAAAAAUACAAAUAUAUGGAGGCUAAACAAUACACUACUUAAUAACCAAGAGAUCACUGAGGAAAUCAAAAAAUACCUAGAAAUAAAUGAUAACGAGAACACAACGACCCAAAAUCUAUAGGAUGCAGCAAAUGCAGUACUAAGAGGGAAGUUUAUAUCAAUACAUCCUUCCUCAAGAAACAAGAAACAUCUCAAAUAACCUUAUCCCUAAAGCAAUUAGAGAAAGAAAAAGUAAAAAAACCCAAAGUUGGCAGAAGGAAAGAAAUCAUAAAGAUCAGAUCAGAAAUUAAAAUGAAAAAGAAAUGAAAGAAGCAAUAGCAAAGAUAAACAAAACUAAAA